rnacentral:tRNA from 2 species
GCAGCGGUAGUUCAGUUGGUUAGAAUACCGGCCUGUCACGCCGGGGGUCGCGGGUUCGAGCCCCGUCCGCUG